GGGCCCUUAGUUCAGCUGGUUAGAGCAGUCGGCUCAUAACCGAUUUGUCGGGGGUUCGAGUCCCUCAGGGCCCACCA
rnacentral:tRNA from 1 species